AGAGUUUGAUCCUGGCUCAGGACGAACGCUGGCGGCGUGCCUAAUACAUGCAAGUCGAGCGGAAUGAUGAAGAAGCUUGCUUCUUCUGAUUUUAACGGCGGACGGGUGAGUAACACGUGGGCAACCUACCUUGUAGAUUGGGAUAACUCCGGGAAACCGGGGCUAAUACCGAAUAAACCAUUUUGCUUCAUGGCAAGAUGUUGAAAGGCGGCUUCGGCUGUCACUACUAGAUGGGCCCGCGGCGUAUUAGCUAGUUGGUAGGGUAAUGGCCUACCAAGGCGACGAUACGUAGCCGACCUGAGAGGGUGAUCGGCCACACUGGGACUGAGACACGGCCCAGACUCCUACGGGAGGCAGCAGUAGGGAAUCUUCCACAAUGGACGAAAGUCUGAUGGAGCAACGCCGCGUGAGUGAAGAAGGUUUUCGGAUCGUAAAACUCUGUUGUAAGGGAAGAACACGUACGAGAGUAACUGCUCGUACCUUGACGGUACCUUAUUAGAAAGCCACGGCUAACUACGUGCCAGCAGCCGCGGUAAUACGUAGGUGGCAAGCGUUGUCCGGAAUUAUUGGGCGUAAA
rnacentral:rRNA from 1 species